AUCUGGCAAAGAAGUCUUCUGUCUGAAAAAGACUUAGUUAAUUUUCAAUCAACUUUUUCUUAGGAGCUAAGAAGUGAAAGCUUGAACUUGACUAUCAAGGAACACACCAGUUGUUAAUGGGGCCCCCAGGAGGAAGUCAACAAGCUCCACCACAUCUAACAAUACCUACUGAUGGCAGCCUUUCCCCCAGUCAAGCAGCUCUACACCUAGCUCUCCUGCUUUCCACCUGGGGGUGCAGGGGGAUGAGUGGACACCAAGAGGAAAUUAUUUCACUUCCUUCCCAGAGGGUCAGGAUAAACAGAAGAACCUCAGGCUACUCUAAGCAGAAGGAAUGUAUGAUAAUGUGACCAAGCACUGACUGCAGGGUAAGUGUGACUAAGUUGCUGUCUGGGGAAAGAUAUUUUUCUAGGAGAUGUUCAUGUGGGCUGGGAACUCUAAUAAGCACUGAUGCUUACAUAGCUCUUACUAAGUGUCAGCAAUUGUUUCACGGGUCUUAUACAUGUCAGCUCAUUUGACAUUGACAGCCAUCAAAGGAGGUAAGCACCGUUAACACUCCCAUUAUAUAGAUGGGAAAACAGAAGGUAG
rnacentral:lncRNA from 1 species